AUGGCGGAGAAGACGAAGAAUGAUGUUGUGAAGGCGAACGGAGCGGCGGGUGUUCCAGGAGCGGCGGCGGGUGGGGGCACUAGUACUCCAAAAGCGGUUCCUACGCCGCGUUCGGCAGCACAGAAAGAAGCGAUCGACCCUGCGAUGAGGACGCCACUGGGCUCCCAUAGCAGAAGCGCUUCUCUCUCCCCAGGCUUGACGGCUCGCUUGGGGGGUUUAGUGUUGACGGAGAAAGAAGCGAAGGGGUUUAUCUUCAAUGAGUCCGAGCAGGAUCGGGGGCGGCCGGCGAGGUGGUUAGCGAUCGGCAAGGCGUUCACCCCAAGACCGAUGAACAAGGUAGCUUUGGAGAAAUCCAUGACUAGGGCAUGGGGCCUGCACAGAGAAGCACAGUUCAAGAUUAUCGGCAGGAACCUGUUCGUCGUCACGUUCGGCAGUGAGGGAGAUUGGAAACACGCUCUCAACAACGGGCCCUAG
rnacentral:rRNA from 1 species